rnacentral:rRNA from 1 species
GGUAUGGGAUGAGCUUGCGUCCGAUUAGCUAGUUGGCGGGGCAACGGCCCACCAAGGCGACGAUCGGUAGCCGGCCUGAGAGGGUGAUCGGCCACAUUGGGACUGGGAUACGGCCCAGACUCCUACGGGAGGCAGCAGUAGGGAAUAUUGCACAAUGGGGGGAACCCUGAUGCAGCAACGCCACGUGUGGGAAGAAGCAUUUCGGUGUGUAAACCACUGUCAUGAGGGAAUAAGGCCUAUUUUCGGAUAGGAUUGAAUGUACCUUGAGAGGAAGCACCGGCAAACUUCGUGCCAGCAGCCGCGGUAAUACGAGGGGUGCAAGCGUUGUUCGGAAUUACUGGGCGUAAAGGGAGCGUAGGCGGAGAUUCAAGCGGAUUGUACAAUCCCGGGGCCCAACCCCGGCUCUGCAGUCCGAACUGGAUCUCUUGGAUAGUUCAGGGGCAGGC